rnacentral:rRNA from 1 species
AGUAAAUAGAUACCCGGGUAGUCCACGCCCUAAACGAUCAGAACUGGCUUUACGGAGUAUCGACCCUCUGUGAGGCGAAAGCUAAACGCGUUAAGUUCUGCGCCUGGGUAGUACGGCCGCAAGGCUAAAACUCAAAGGAAUAGACGGGGACUUGCACAAGCGGUGGAUCAUGCGGCUCAAUUCGAUGACAAACGAAGAACCUCACCAGGGUUUGAAACGGAGAUGUAAGCUUUAGGAAACUAGAGCCCCCGCAAGGCAGCUCCGCAGGUGAUGCAUGGUCGUCGUCAGUUCGUGGCUUGAGUUGUUCCCUUCAGUGGGGUAACGAACGCAACCCGCGUUGCCUGUUUUAUAUGUCAGGCGAGACUGCUCCCUCACGGGAGAGGAAGGUGCGGAUGACGCCAGAUCAGCAUGUCCCUCUGAUAUCCUGGGCUGCACGCAUGAUACAAUGCACGACACAACGGGUCGCGACGGAGUAAUCCUGAGCUAAUCCUAAUAAAGUCGUGCCCAGUUCGGAUUGAGGGCUGC